GACCUAUGAUAUUUGGAUGAAUAUUAUUGGUUUACCAGAACGUCAAAUUUCUAGAAAAGGAGAAAAUGAUAAUUGGUGGAGCAUGGGAAGCACGGGGCCGUGUGGCCCUUGUACUGAAAUUUACUGGGACUUCGGCGCUCCUCUUGAUUGUAAAACUCGAUAUCUAGAACUCUGGAAUAUUGUAUUUAUAGAAAAAGAAAUGUCAAGUGAUGGUUCACUCUAUUUUUA